AACCUGGUUGAUCCUGCCAGUAGUCAUAUGCUUGUCUCAAAGAUUAAGCCAUGCAUGUCUAAGUAUAAACUGCUUUAUACUGUGAAACUGCGAAUGGCUCAUUAAAUCAGUUAUAGUUUAUUUGAUGGUACCUACUUACUCGGAUACCCGUAGUAAUUCUAGAGCUAAUACGUGCGCACAUCCCGACUUCUGGA
rnacentral:rRNA from 1 species